GAGGGGGGAUGCGCUUAACCCGGUGGGGCAAUGUCCGAAAAAUAAACCCAGCGCUAUAAUGAUACACGUGGUUAAAAUGCGUAAAUUCACUUAUUGUGCAGAACAGGAUAGGAAAACGACAUGCGUUUUUUUGCGAUCGGUCAAAGAAGCAUCAUACUGACAUCAUACAGUUUCAAAAGCAUCUGAUUCGGGGUGUAACAAUGAGCGAAGGGACAUCAGGAGACACUAAUAGUAUGGAACUGGAGGCUGGCAUUACUGCAGAGGAAACCCCAGUGAACACACUGCAGAGGUUAACUGAGGAUGAGGGAACCACCACUCGAAGGAAGAAGAAGAAGAAGAAGAAGAAAGAGAUCAUCUACCGCUCAGACUUGGAGGUUGAGGAUGCAGGAGAGGGGACCUCAGCUGAUGUGGAUGGACACCUUGGUCUUCCAUUUGAAGAGGAUGAGCAGGAUAUACCUCCUGACAGCCGCUUCGUGACCCUGACUGGCACCAUCACGCGCGGAAAACGGAAAGGCCAAAUGGUGGACAUCUAUAUGACUCUUACUGACAAAGAGCUGAGAGACAUGGCGCGUUCCAAAGAGCGUCUGGAUGCGGAGUGUGACGGGGUUGCCGAAGCUAAGCAAAAACCUUGCACGCUAGGGGUCAGCCAGGGACCCCAUGUUCUCCUCUGGAGCCUCUCCUGCUCUCCUUUCAUCUUCCUUCUGUCCUUUAUCACAUCAUUUUAUUACGGAACGCUCACCUGGUAUAACAUCUUCUUGGUUUACAAUGAGGAGCGCUCCUUUCUGCACAAGAUCACACUGUGUCCUUUGCUCAUCUUGUUGUAUCCGGUGCUGAUCAUGGUGUUGUGUGUUUGUAUGGGGGUGUAUGCUGCUGUGAACCAGCUCUCAUGGGUGUUUGGAGAAUGGUGGCUGGCGGUGAGGGACCUUGAGAAGGGCUUCUGUGGGUGGAUGUGUGGGAAACUAGGGUUGGAAGACUGUGCCCCGUAUAACGUGGUCGAGCUUCUGGAUUCUGACACUCUGUCUGGGACACUCCAGGGGAGGCGGAUGGAAGAUGUUGAGCAGACGUCCUCUUUGUGAAAUGGGAAAUAUGUAAAAACAUUUUAUGAUUAAAGGAAAGAUUAAAGUUGAGCUCUGUAGAUAGCAUCUGUGGCAUGCUUUGGAUUUCCACAGAAAAUUGCUGUAUUACUUCCACUGUAUAUAUUUUCUGUGGUAACUGACAAGACAUCACAGAUGUUUAAAAGAUUGUCCGUCUUAAUAAAGUAGACUUGGUGCUAGGGUAUCAUCCGUAAGGUAGACAGGAUUCUGGUGUGCUUUUGCGGUUUUAAAGUGAAGUUGAAAGUUCUCCAUCACAAGAAAUGAUGGACUAUACCAACCACUGACAUACACUUGAUACAGUAGGAACAAGGAUUAUUGGCAAAAGUUGAAUUGUAGCUCUAGGCCGUUGACGAAGAAAUGAGGUUUUGUGUUGCCUUCACUUGCUGUUUCAUCAUCUCGAUACAAGAGACUGUGUUAUAGCUCUCAGUAGGCGGAAAUACUUGAGAUAUUUAAGUUCCACCCUGAAUUUUUUUAUGCAUUUUUGUUACAGUUUCAACUCUUACAUCACCUACUUGUCAUGAGAGAUAAUUUCACUUACUGUUUUACAUGGGCAAAAGUGGGCUUAUUUCCAGACCCAGUAGCAUUUUAACCUCAAUGUAGAUUCGUUCACAUUCAACGUACACUUGCUCAGUUUCAAGUUUAUUAUUGUAUUAUAUUCUGCUCAUUGUGUGAAACCCAAAUCACUGAACUAUUGUGUUAGUAUUGAGAACAGUGUGGUGUUUCGUGUUUCUUACAAGGUAUAAUAAUGGUGCUAAUGGUGCUCGCCAAGGAUCCCAGCCAUUUAAAACCAGACACUGUAUCACAUUAAAGAUCUCGGCCCUGUUGAAAAGAACUUGGUGUACGAGGGUAUCAUCUUACUUUCAAAAACAUUUCAACAGGAAAUCCCCAAGAUGAUUGCACAUGCAUACUUUCGGUGGGAUGGUUCUCAGUGCAUCUGAGGAAUUGCAUAGUCAAUAAGUGGAUCAGCUCUGACAAUGAAGUUGUAUACCUCUUCUCCAUGUCUGUUAUUUAUAGGGGCAUUCUAUACGUUUGUUGCCAUUGCAUCUGAACUGCAUAACUUCUGAAAUAUGUAUUUAUUAAGUUCAUACAUGCUGUUGUAUUAAAUCUGCAGGUGGAGCAAUUGCAAACAUGCAGAUUCAGUCUGUGUUACACAGUAUAUUUCUUUUGUUUCAGUUUGGCAACCAAUUGUGCUAUACGGUUGACACUUAUCAAUGCCACAGCAGAAGAACUUCGCCUUAAACUUUCACAUAACAACACUUGAAUGAAACUGUCUUCACGUAGACUGUUUUUCUGCAUACAUGGUUUAAAAGCACAAGCUUUGUUUUUUAAAGCAUGAAUUUUAAGUUUUGUUUGCACACUUGUCUUCAGUUAUUUGCACAGGAUUUGUAACACUGCUGAUUCAUUAUCAACGGGUUCUAAUAAAGAUUUUUUUUCCUGUUUGUCAUUUUAGUUUAUAGCACUGAGGAGUGUUUCGUACAUGGUUGCUAAAAACAGCGACGCACACACCUUUUUAAAGACGUGCAUUGCUUAUAUGUAAUUACCAAACCCUCUUUAGUCAUCUGAAUAUCUUAAAACCAUCAUUCUAAUUCCCUACCGGGGUUUUUCCAAGGGCUCUAAAUUAACCAGUUGAUUAGAGAAUCAGCACUGGUGAGUUAAAAUGAGUAAAUACUUAAAAUACGCCAUAGUACAUAGCUGAUAAGUGACCAUAACUGAUAUUGUCAACUUUACGCCCCGCCGCAAGAACCGACAGGCGGCUGACAUCAAAGUACCGCGAGAGCGAUUCGGAUAACCAUAAGGACUUUGCCUUCGAAUCGUUAUCGAGGUACUUUGUUUGACGUAAUCCGCCUGACAGUUCUUGAAGCGCGUAAAUGAAAAACGCCCACGCCUUCUCUUUAUGAGAGGGCGGGGCUUGAUUCCAAGCGCGUACACGUCCAUACUUUCGUUUUCUUUAAAGGUCGCCGAAGAUGGAGGCAGACAGUUUUAAAGCAUUUCCACAGAAACGCCUCUAUACAGGGACUAUGACCAGAGCUUUUGGCCCUCCGAUCAGCGCAUAAUAAAGGGGUAAAUCCAGAGAGGCUGUUACAUGGAAAUGUGAUGAGGCUAUAAUGGGUUUAUCUCCAAUGUAAAGAUGAAUAUUGCCCUGAGUUUAAUUUAUAUAAGAAAAAAAUCAAUAAAAAAAAUAAAGGGUGUUAAAAAUGUGUAAAACCUUUUAAAAUGACUGCUUGUUUUGCUCAAGCAGUAAGCUACAACAUACAGAAUCUACAGUAUACAGAAUCAUACAGUGAAAUGGCGGAUGGAUUUUCUAUAAUGGUUAACAAUGUGACAGCAUCUCUCAGUCAAGAGGAGUGUAGGACCCU